rnacentral:lncRNA from 1 species
UAAAUAAUGAUCUGCUACUUUAUAUGAUGGAUUUCCAGUUACUGAUAUUUUUUUGGAACAAAAGAAGUAAAAUUUGGUGAGCUAUUUAUUGUUAAAUAAUAUGAUGAUGAUCUCCCGCAAAUAUUUAAGUAUUAGAGGUUCAACGGUCUGUCUUGGGGUCUUGUUACUUUACUAAUAUCUGAGUGAUGAUGUCUAUAGACUAUAGCUAUUGUAUAUGGCCUACAAAUGAUGGAUUCAUGGGAUAUUUCCACCCCCUCAAAUGGUGGCAGGAGAAUCCUGGAAAUUAAUCUCUGAGAAGUUGACCUGAAUUGGAAUUACCAGUCAAUUGUCUCACUACUACCAGUCAAAUUUGUGGGCACUGUAUAUGGUACCCUGAAAGUCAUCUUUCAGGAAAAUCUGCUGAUUGCCAGAUCCAAAUCACUUUCUUAAUCUAUUCUUUUUCAUUGCCCCCACUUUUCUCUUUUCUGCUUUCAUUGUCUGAAACUUAACAAUAGACAGUCUAACUCUUUCUUCUUCAAGGUAAGGUCUGUGUAGAUUCUAAAACCAUAUUUAUUGUAACUUUUCUUGAAUAGGUACUUUUCUGCUCCAGCAACAGAUACGGAAAGAACUGAACAAGAUUUUCUGUUGAACAAGAUUUUGAACAAGUCAGUUACAGUACAUUAUUGGAAUAGUUUGACUUCUUCUCUGAUUCCAGAGCCUGAGAGCCUUGUUUCCAGGCUAAUUAAUCAGCCUUGCAUCCGUUGCUCCGAUGUAUUAUAGUUUUAUAUUCAAGAUCACAUGUUUCCAAGAACUGCCCUCCCAACUGAAACUAAUAUGGAGAAGCUUAGUUCUGCACUUGCUGACCCUCUCUUUACAUGGAAAAUGGAGGAACCGAGAAGAGUUUGAUCAAUGAGAUUAUGCAUUUGAUUGUGCAUUGGGGUUGCUUGCUGCUAUGGGUACGGACUGGGUCACAAGCUUAUACUGCAGAUUGAUUUUGAAGAUUGAAGAACGCGCAUCUCUACUAGGAAUCAGAAAUUUCUCACUGUUGAGCUUCAGAGGGCAUGCAGUUUUUUAUUGCAGUUUCUUGGUUAAGAUAUACAGAAGCCAUGCAUGCAGAUCCGAGCGCCUAAGGGCUUGUGGUACGAGGAAUGCCUCAUUUAUUCUUUUAAAUUAGAAACAAUUGGUUGGCUCUGCAUGUUAGUCAUUUUUCUUUUUCAUUAUACUCAAAUGGUCCUCUGACCUCCAGAUGGCAGGAAAGUUGAUAUCUUGAUAUUCUUUUGCAAAUAAAGUAGGAAGUCUAAACAUGAAGGUGCUGAUUACGACGGAAUGUGAUGUAGUUUGUUACACAAACAUACAACGAAGGGACCUAAAUACAGUUGGUCUCAUCAAUUCUCAUGCUAUAAUAACCAAGGAAAAGUGCCAAAUUAAGUGCUUACUUUCCCACUUAUUUGCCAUGAGAACUUUGAAGCUGCAUCCUAAUUCUUUUGAGCGUGGAAAGAACAUCUUGCAUGUUCUUUCUAGCAUUGGGUGAUGUUUCUGUGCAGUCCAAAGCCAGCUCCAUAAGUGAUGACACAGAACGCAUCUUAGCCUCAAAAUUUUCUUCUUCUGGUUUUAGCAAAUUAGAGUCUAAAACCUGCAAAAGUCCACUUGGAAAAGAAUCUAUGAUCCAUUGCCUCAGGGUUAUAGCUCCAGCAAACAUGUCAUCACUAGGUUUUACUCGAGUGAAAGUCUCCAUCAACAUGAUACCGUAACUAUAAACAUCACAUUUAGUGGACACUAACCCUUCCAAUCCAUGCUCUGCAAAAAACCAAUUUCAAUGUUAAGAGCAAAUAUAUAAUCUUUUUGUCAAGAAUGUCAUGCUCUGAGCAAAGAAGAAAAGAUUUUUGUCAAAGGAAUGCCCGGAAGAAGAUGAAUCGAAAAAAAAAGAUUUUACCCGGUGCAAUGUAUCCUAUUGUCGCGAUUGUUUUGGUAUGUGUAAUUCCAUCUUCUGCACCCAAUAAUUUUGCAAUACCAAAAUCACAUACAUGUCCUACCAUUUCUUCAUCAAGCAAAACAUUGCUAGGCUUCACAUCACAGUGCACCACUGAGGUAGAAUAACCAUUAUGGAGGUAAUCCAAUGCAGAUGCCACAUCUAUCAUUAUAUCUAGCCUCUGAAAGAUGUCUAGGAAGUAGUUGUGAGAAUACAACCAUUUUUCAAGGCUGCCAUUAGGCAUGUACUCCAGCACUAGGGCUUUGAAGUCCAUGUCCUGGUUGGAGCAACUAGUGAUGACUUUUGUUAAAUUUCGGUGACGAAUGUUGCGUACUACUUCACAUUCUGUAUCAAAGGUCUUGAGUGCUCCUGCUAGUUUCAUGUCAAAUACUUUUACAGCCACAGGAGUACCAUCAGGUAGUGUACCUUUGUAGACAGUGCUGUAACCCCCAAUACCAAGCAGGUUGCUUUCACUGAAUCCGUCAGUAACUUUUUCGAGUUCAUAAUAGGAAAUCCUUUGAUGUGCUGUUGCAGGUGAUGGAUCAGUUUCAACUGCUUUUUCCUUUUUCUUUUGCCAUCUUGCAAUUAGAAAUCCCAGAGCUGAAACAAGAAUUAGAGAUGAAAUCCCAAGGAUAAUGUAUAUGAUUGAAAAGAAUCUUUUCCUUCUCCUGUGGGCAGAAAUCGUAGGGCAGGGAAGCACUUGAAACUGAGGAGCACCACAUAGUGCACCAUUGGACAAAAAAGAUUGAUUUGUGAAGUUUUGGAAAGGACCACCAGUAGGAAUUUGUCCACUUAAUUGAUUGAAGGAGACAUUAAAUUGUCUGAGGUACUUGAGAUCCUCGAGUGACUGGGGAAUCAUUCCAGUAAGCUUAUUAUGAGACAAAUCUAAUGUUUCCAAGCUUACCACCUUGCCUAGUGUAUUUGGAAUAGGCCCUUCCAGGUUAUUCUGGGCUAAGGAGAGAUUGAUCAGGUUCUGAAGGCCAUCUAUAGAUUGUGGAAUAUUUCCAGAGAAGUUAUUGCUGGACAAAUCAAUUUCUACUACAACCUUUAAAUUUCCAAUUUCAGGAGUUAGAAAUCCGCUAAGUGAAUUUGAGGAUGCAUCAAAUCUCAGAAGAUCUUUCAGCCUCCAUAAGCUUGGAGGCAAACUUGAGCUGAAACUGUUAGAAGCUAGAAUAAGGUGUCUCAAGGAAGAAAUAUUUCCUAUACAGGAUGGCACAGCACCGGAGAUCUGAUUCCCUCUGAGACCUAUUGCGCCAAGCUUUUGUAAGCUGCAGAUAUUGUUUGGCACUGAUCCUGUUAUCUUGUUGUUGUCUAAAUACAACUGUUGAAGGCUUUGUAAACCAUCAAUGGUGCUCGGAAUGGUACCAAUCAAAUUGUUGUCAAAAAGACUUAACAAGGAAACACUAGUCAGAUUACCGAUUUGGUCUGGAAUAGUACCCCUGAUAUUACAUCCAGAGGAAUCAAAAAUUUGGAGAGAGGUAGAAAAAUUACCAAUGGAGGCUGGAAGUGUACCAUUUAAAGGAUUCCCACCAAUAUCAAGUUCUGUCAGAUUUCUGCAUUUUGUCAAAGAAGUAAGAAAUAUGAGUUCUGAAGAUGAAGAUUCAAUGAUCAAAUUGUUACCCCCCAAGUUCAGAAGUACAAGGGAUCCUAAAUUUCCAAGUGCAUUGGGUAUAGGACCACUGAAACCGUUAUUUGAGAUGUCCAAAAUGGUGAGCUUUGAAGCAUUUGAGAUGGAAACAGGUAUAUUUCCACUAAGGUUAUUCAUUCCAAAGUGAAGUGUUUCAAGAUUUGGCACUUUUUUGCCCAUAUCUGAAGGCAGAUUACCAGAUAGGGAAUUUGCCACACAUGUGAAGUCCCUAAGUGUUGAAAUGUUGAAGACACUUGCCGGAAUGGAACCACUUAAACUAUCCCCAUCUAAUCCAAACACUUCUAGUCUUUGAAGGUUACCAAUCUCUGUUGGUAUUGUACCUGCCAGAUUAUCACAGUGCAUAAACAGAAAUAAUUAACUACUCUGAAAUUGUUCAAACUCCAAGACCAAGAAAAAAUGGAUAAUGCUAGUAAAAUAAAGCUGUCCCAGAGUGAUAUAUCGUCAUAAUUCUUUAUCUGACUACUCACAUCAAGAAUUAGCUCUUAAAUAGAGUAAGAAAACUAUAUAAAAGAAACGAUUACAUGAGGAGAAAGUGAAAACUUUCAAGCAUGCAAAGUUCGCAAACUGAAGUCGGGCAGGGGGGAAGCAAAAUUACCUUCCAAAUUGUUACCCCCAAGAUGUAACAGUGUCAGCAGAGUUAAAUUCCCAAUUUCUCUUGGUAUGGUUCCACUAAAUUCAUUGCGGGACAGUGAUAGAAGUUGAAGCUGUGAACAUUUUCCUAUACUAGGGGGUAUUAGGCCUUCUAGUUCAUUGCUUGAAAGAUAAAGCCUUUCAAGCUUUGGAAGAUUAUAGCAAAUAUCUACCGGAAGAUCACUGGACAGAUCAUUGCCCGAAAGGGCAAUGAUUUGCAGCAAGGAAAGAUUGAACACAUGUGGUGGUAUGGGACCUGUAAACUGGUUACCUUCCAGGUUUAAAAAUGUUAAGGAAUGAAGAUCACCUAUUUCUUCUGGAAUGCUCCCCUGUAGGAAAUUCCUGUUCAAGGCUAGCUCCUCAAUUUUAGUUAGAUUAGAGAGUGAGGCUGGUAUGCUACCUGAAAAGCUGUUACGCGAGAGGUGCAAGAGUUGAAGUUCAGGCAAGGAACUGAAGACAGAUGGUGGAAUCUUCCCACUAAAAUUGUUACGCCUUAAAUCAAGAAGCUUCAACCUGCGCAACAAAGCUAGCUGUCCAGGCAGAUUUCCCGAAAAACUGUUGUUACUGAGAUCAAGAUAACUGAGAAAAGAGAGGUUUCCCAGGUCUGCGGGGAUGCUUCCAGUGAGGCCCAUGUUGGAAAUAUCCAGGGAUGUGACUCUGGAAUGCCUUGAACCGCAAGUGACACCAAUCCAGCUGCAGACAGAUGAUGCUGCAGACCAGUUUUUCUCUAGGAAAACAUUGUUAGAGCUAAAAGAAAUAUGCGAUUUUAACACCAGAAGUGCAGAUUGAUCAGUGGUAUUUGUUAAAGCAGAUGUAACACAAUGAACAGACAAGAAUGCAGCAAACAAGAGGAUUCUGGCUCUACCCAUUGAAGAUUUUUUGUUGGAAUGUGCGGUUUCUCUAAACCUAACAAAGUGGGCAUGACAGAAAUAUGAAUGGGAAAUGAAGAAACUCUGAAUCAAUAGUCAUUCUUUAUUGUCUUGUAGUAUAAUAAAUUUGCUUUUCUGGGAUUUGUUUCGUGGAUAUUUAGCUCAUCAGCUUUGUCCUUUGUAGUGAAAGUCCAUUCUUGAAACAAGAUUGCUUCCCCAUCCCGCCCACCACAGGCCCCCACCCCUCCCCGAAGGGGCGGCCGCCUGCAGAGGUACGUACAUUAAAGAAGCAACCUUUGGAUAAAGUUUAAUCUUCAAACUCUUUUAACAAAACUUAUGCAUUGGCAUUGAAAGAGACCAUGCAUGUUAAUGUUUUCACCAAAUUUCCCACGAAUUUGAGGCGAAAGAGGCGAAUUCAUCCAUAACUACGUAGACAAGUAGAUUAAAGCAUAAAAAAUCAAAAUACAUGUCCACAGGCAGGCACGGUUCAGUUGAAUGCAGUUGUAUUUGUUACAUAAUCCAGUGUUUAUUUAUAUCACUUUGUUAUGUGCCAGAAUAAUAUUUUUAUAUACUGAAUCUCAUAAGAAAUAUUACAAAAUAUAUAAGGGUACACUAAUUUCUAUGAGAAGUACCAUCUAAAACAGAUUGGUUUUAACCAUAUGCAACUUUGCAGGUAUGCUUAAAGACAAUAUAUUUCACCAUUUUGCUUCUAAAAGUGUACAAGCUGCGUUGUUCUGCACUUCUAGUUCUCCAAAAAAUCAGUGAUCAUAUCCCUCCUCCAAUCUCAGUCCACUGAGGCUGCACAAGUUGAUAGUAAACAAGUUUACCAGGGUAUAAUCAUGAUAAAGCAUUUGGCUUUUAACAAAUGGACAGGAAUCUUAAAACCAAAGCCAUGAGGUCAUCUUAAUCCGAUUAAUAUUUAUAAGGUAGCUGUUGGUCCUCUUUGCACACAAUCAUUGAGUUAUCAAAUGUCUUUCAACUUGUUAUGCUUCGUUUUCAUUGUGAUGUCAAAGUUUUCUGUUUCGUGCUUCAUAAGCUGCCAGUCUUAUUGUGUAUGGUCAAUGCCGGUGAUAACUUAUAACAUUGGAAUCCAUACCCCAGGCGUACUGCUACAUUAAGUUUGGUCCCAUAUUUACCAGUCUUUUUCUUUUUUUUUUUUUUGGGAUAAUUUCAAAAACCUUUCUUGAGGCUUUUGACGAUUGUGACCACCUCCUCUUGGUUUGAAAAUUUACACUUACCUCCGUUGAUGCCAUGAAAAAAUUAUGAUAGCCUUCACAAAUUUUAAGUGAAAAUGAGUUUACAUGAGAAAAGUGAAAAUUCUUUUUUGGUAAUACUUCUUUAUCCUAAAACUCUAUCGUCAUCUAAUCUAGUACAUUAUGCUUUGUUCUCAAUUUUUCUAACUAGAGUUAUUAAUCAAUGUAUAAAAUUUUGACCAACCAAUUAGGGAGGUAUUUGUUAAAAUAAGUAUCAUAAAAAAUUACUUAACCAAAAAAUGUUUCCAAAGUGCCAAAAAGAAUGCUUUCAAAACAUAGCUUAAUUUUUCCUACAAAAAACUAACUUGAAAUUUUCACCUAAAGGAUAAUGGUGACAGUUGACUUUUUAACAUUUAAUUUGUGUUACAUAUGAGAGAGGAGCAAUGUUGGAUAUUCAUUGGAUUUUUUUUGCUUACACCAUCAACUGUUAACAAGAAAUACUUUCUAAGGGAGGUUUCAGUAAUUUUUCAAAUCUCAGAAGAGGUGGUUACAAUAACCAGGAACUUCAAAGGAGGUUUUUGAAAUUAUCCCUAUAUUUUUUUUCCCUAGAAAAGAUCAUGCAUACAUUAUGUGCUAAUAAGUUGUCAUGUAAAAUACAUGUAAUUUCUAAGAAAAGGCACAAAUGUACAUUAUAUGUUCAUUUUGGGAGAAAAUUAUUUUAUUUUGGAUAUGUUGAGAAUCAAAAUGCAUUAUGUUAUGCAUGGGGAAGUAAAAAAAAAAAAAGGACAAACUCAAAAGUAUAAGUACCUUUGUGCAAUUUUCCCAUUGCAGAAUGCUAGUUGGAUUAAUACCUAAUCUUUGUCACUUUUGGCUUUAUCCUUAGCAAGAAGUUUUGGUCCACCGUUCCACACAAUCUACAAAUGCAUGCGCAUGGGCAUGGUAGUAUAAUAUAGAGGGGCUAAUCUUUAGGUAACAACUAGCAAUGUUCUUAAAUUAUUAAAACAGAAGUUUUAAUUGAUACAUCAACUAGCAGUAGGACUACUUUGGUAUAAAGAAAAAUGUUUUGAGACAAUGGAGUUUACAAUAAAGUUUGAGGGAUUUCCAUGAGACUAUGACAAUUUAGUUUAGGAUCCAAAUUAAGAAAUUUUAAAAUAAAACUUGAGGGACCUCCAUGAGAAUUUAAAAUUAAUUUAGGUAUUAGAUGUACAAAUUUUUAUACAGUUAUCACUAAAGGCUAAAUAUUGAAGAUAAGUGAGAAGUUUCGGGUUUGAAACCUUCCAUAUACCCAAAAAAAGGUUUUAUUUGCAGUUCACUAUAUAACUUUUACUUUAAAGCAAUUGAAAGCAAAUCCGAAACCGUCUUAUUCAAGUAUUGUAGUUUUAAGUAAUUACAUUUGGAAGUAAAAAGAAUUUUUCAUUCCAUUGGAGACGUAUUAAAGUUAGAAGUUUGUAGUAAUUACAUGGUAUAGAGAAAUUAUAUAAAGUUUUUUACACAUAGAAAAUUAUGCUUUGAUAUGCUUGAAAAUCAUUUUGCUUACAUAAAUAAUCUAUACAUGUUUUUAGAAGACGUUUUUCAAAAUUUUCAUGGUGAUGCUAUUGCUUUUUUUUUUUUUUUGCCUUUUUGUUUGUAUUUAGUUAAUUUAUUUUGCCUUUUAGUUAUCACAAAGCUAGUGUGAAGAAGCAAAAAUAGUUAUAAAUAAAUAUUGUUUAUAUCUACAUCCUGCAUCAAGGGAAUUGAUCACGAAAUUCUUAGCAAACGAAUCCGAAAUUAUAUUUAUGAAAUGAAAAAUAUAAAAAUGACAUGUUUUAUUUUAUAACAUUGCUUCCAACCAAAGAUAAUGACAUGUGUGUUGAAUCUAGCUUAGUUACACAUGAUAAGUAAUAAACGGCUGAAAAUUAAACAAAUGUGGCAUUGCACUCUUUAUUUAGCUUAUUAUAUCUCUUUCUUUUUUUUUUUUUUUGUUUCCCUUUGUUUCUAUUGAUGAUUCAUUUGCCAGGAGUUAGAGGCAGAAGAUUAAAUUGUACAUUAGAUGAAUGUGAAUGGCUUACAAGUUUAGAAGCCUUAAAAAUUCCUUUAAAUUCUCGAAGCAAAAGAGCAUUAGAUUCUAUUGUUCCUUUCUACAAUUGCCCAAGAAAGGGAGGAGGAAAGCAUAAUAUUAUACUAAAGUGAUGUUACAUGUGUAGAAAGCUUAGUCAACGUUAUUCUUAUUCCAUUGCAUUAACCCCUAUUUAUCUAGUCAACGGUACAAAUCGGCCCUAAAAUUGCUCAAAAACGAAUGUGAUUCUGGUGCAUAAUCUUUUGCCUUUUAAUGCCAAAAAUACCAUAGAACAGAGAGAACGGUGUUGAAAUUAGAAGAUGGCUCAUGAUACUCGUAGUGAUAAAAGUGAACUUUUCUUUUUCAGGAUCAUUGAUGUGUUAACAUUUCAGGAAUCAGAUAUAGGCGAACAAAAAAGUGAUAGAGAAGAUGAUGCUAAACAGAUGGUGCUUAAUUUCCCAAAAAUUUUCUUAAUCACAUGCAUUUCUUGUGUAGCAUUAAUAACUAAUGAAGAAUUGCAAGUGUAUGAACCUUUUAGGUACACUGCACUGGUGGUAGAAUUGUUUUUUAUUCCAAACCUAUGAUCCAAUUCAUACAUUGAAUUGUAUGAUAUUCACGUUAACAAGUUUAGCUGAUUUCGUUCCGAUCAUCACUAUAGGUUAAGGCAUACUUUCGAUACUAUAGAUUGCUUAAAUGAAUAUUUACAGAUUAUCCAUCAAUAUAUUUCUCUCGAUCGACACAUUAUGUGAUUGUGAUAAUUUGAGAGAAUGGAAAAGUGAAGGAGUCUCUAAAACUAAAGAAUGAAGAAUCAAGCUAUGAAGUGCUGAACUAAACAUAAGAUUUGAGGGUAUAACUUCAAUGCGCUACAAAUGCAUUUUAUAUUUACUCCAACUUGAAUUUGACAAAUAGAUUGGGACUUCAAUAGUUUCGUUCAUAACAAAUAAAUUGGAUUGAAACUUAUAUUUAUCAAUAUUUUCAAAAUGGCCGCUUCGAUCGGUUGAACCGCGAACUGGCCAUGAUACCGAUUCGGUUCUAUACCAAAGUUGACUUUGUAAGAAAAUUGGUCAAAACUGGUGAACCGGGAUCGAACCAGUGGUUUUCGGUUUUUCAAUUUUUCCAUCAAUAUUUUUUUUUAAGUUUUGCAAAAUGCAACCCACCAAAAUUUGAACUUAGGACCUUUGUGAUAGAAGACAAAUGUAGUAACCAUUGUACCAUCAUAUCCUAUUAGCCAUUUUGAUAAUUCAUUUAUAUAAAACAAACAUCCACAUUCAUUUUUUUCAUUUUUCCUACAAAAUCUCAUUCUCUCAUGAUUCUUUCUUUUUAAUCUUCAACUCUCUCUCACACACUCUCUCUUCUUUUCUUUUGUCACUCCCUUUUUAAUCAAACAUCUUUAGUUUUAAUUUAUUGAUGUUUUCUUUCAUCUUUUAAUUUUGUUUUUGUCCAUUAAAUUGAAAAAAUUUAAAAAAGAAUUAUUUUUCUUUAACUCUAAAGACUAACUAUUAAAUGCCACAACCACUUACUUUUAUCUCAUUUUUUAUUUUUAUCAAGUUUACAUUUCUGUUUUCGAUUCUCCUGACUUCCUUCAAACUCCAAACUUCUUUUUUUUUUUAAUUGCAAUCUCUAAAUCCCAAAAAACGUAAAUUAAAAUUUAAAAUCACAAUAUCUAAAUUCCUAUAGACGUGAAUUUUGUAUAAUUUCAAAAUAUUGUGAUAUUUUUGGGUUGGAUUUAAGAUCAUUUUUUGGUAGAUAUAAUUGAGAUUGAAAUGAAAUUUAUUUGUUUCAACUUAUACUUUAAAAUUUUUAUUUUUUUUAAAAAAAAUUCAAGUUAUUCAAAAAUAUUAAACUUUUCAUCAUAUAAAAUUUUAAAUUAGUUCAUUGCAUGACUUAUUUUGUACAUAUAUAGAUAUUUAUAUAAAUUAUUUUUUAAAAAAUUCAUUGAACCAGAGUUGAGUCAGUCCGAUCGAUUGAAUUUUGACUCAAACACUUCAUCGGUUCAAUUAACGGUCCGAAUUUGAAAACAUUGAUAUUUAUUUGCUAGCAAUAAUGCCAGCUUGUGCAUCACGUAUGGCUUUCUGUUUUUCAGUCGAUAUUUCUAAGCACUGUACGUAGAACUAAUAGUACAAGUAGCAAAAAUUAUGCGAUUUUCAUGAAGACGGGAGAAGGGAUCAACCUUUGGACGAUCGCUUUGGGAUACAAAAUUCCAUUCACAAGUGGACAAAAUUCCCGUCGGUUAUGCUUGGUCCUUGCAAGAUUGGCUGCCAAGUGGAGUUAGCCAUUUUGAUUGCCUUCGAGAGUUGAGUUGAAAAGCAGACGCAAGUCAAAGCAAAUCUUGGCAACUUUUAGGCCAAUUGUUGAUUGACAGAAGUGCAUCCGAAGAGCCAAUCAAGCAGCACUUGGCAAAGUUUGCUGGGCUUAGCCAUUUUGAUUGCUUUCUUCUUGUUUCAUAUUUGUUGAACUCCCCCGCCAAAUAAACAACUUUCAAUAUCCAACCGUGUCACCUGAACAAUGUAAUAUUUUUUAAACGUCUCGUAACUAUAUAUAAAUUUCUUAUGUAUUUUUAUAACAAAGAUGUGAUAUUUUAUUACUGUUCAUAUUGAUCCCAUGUAUAAUAAUUGCUCUCUGUUAUUAAUAAAUUUUACAAAUAAUUCACGUAGAAUUCUAUCUUAUUCAAAAAAUGUUAUAUCGUUUGUUUGUUUUACCGACAAUUAUUUGUGCCUUUGGUCCAAGAAAAGGCAGGCGCUAGUCAGAGCCGAAGUUGGCAACAAUUGGGCCAAUUGUCGAGUGACAGAAGCGCAUCCGUAGAGCCAAUCAAGCACCAUUUGGCAUGGUCUGCCUAGUGCUGUGGACAACUUGAUUUUUGUGAGUGGACGUGGGGGUUGGGAUGUGUUUCAAUUGUCGAUGGAAUGGAAUAUUGACAUUUUAAAGGGACGAAAUAAAAAGGCAAUGAAGGGAGAGGUGGCGCGCACGCAGAGGCAAUCCCAUCAAGGAAGAUACAUAGGAGUGCCACGAAAUUCUUCAGGAUAGCGUUAUUCUCCUACAUUUGAUGGUGAGGUCAAAGUUUCCUGUACCAAAAGGAGCAUGCCACAAAUUAACUUGAUUUUCUAGACAGAGAGUUUGAUUUACAGCUAUCCAGCAAUACCAUGUGCAGCACUUUAAUGACUUGCAUUCGGGACAGAUUUGGAGUGGGAUUCAAGGAAGAAAAAAAAAUUCACUAAGAUGAUAACGAGUGAACAUAUAGCCCCUUGGAGUUGGUUCGGAUGGUCUCGAAACAGCUUAGCUAGAUCCUGAAGUCGCGUGUUUGAGUCCCCUCUCUGUCGCUUAUGUAUCCUUGAGGGGUUGGGUACACAGGCACAGGAAGAUUAGUCCAGCAAAAAACUGGGAUACUUCCUGUAUUGACAAGAAAAUAAGAAAAGAUAACGAGUAAAUAUCUUUAACAUUUGAACUUCUGCUUUUCUUGUUGUAGCUAAUGGCAAAAAAAUUGCUGUGUUCUUAUUCAAGUAUAAUUAGCAUUCAAACUCAGAGUGCAGAAAAUUAUCGGAUCUUGAGUGAUACCAUUCUUAACUUUGGUGUUUCUGAUCAAUCAUAGUUAAAUUGCUCCCGGGAAAAUGACAAGCCAGAGCGUUGCAUCAUUUUGCAGAAAAGAUGAAAAGUACCCUUUCGGCGAUACAAGGGGCCAAAUGGGAUUUAUACCCGUGUCGAAUUGCCCUACCAAACAAACAGAUUGAAUAUCAACUAAAGAUCGAUACGCAAGCAUGCAAAUUUACUUUCCGUUUUCUUGACAUGGAAUUCUUGCAUACACAUCAUCAUCUUUAGGUCCGGGAGACGCUCCAAAUUGACUUGGUAUGUCCCUUGGUCAGGCUAGAAAGUGGGUGGAAUAAGUUCCUUGACAAGCACCUUGCAUAUGAGUUUGGUGCAUGGAUCUUGAUGGAGGUGCAUUUUCAAAUGGCUAUAGAAUCUAGGGAUAAUUUCCGAAACCUCUCCUCAGAGGUUUCUGACAAUUUCACUGAAUUCCCCUGAAUUUCCCUGAAAUUUGAAAAAUUGCAUAUACCUCCUUUGUCCAUUUAAAAUGGCAAUACCAAUCUUAAUAUUUUUAAUAAAACUCUCUUGUCGCCAUGAUUAUGCAAAGGAUGGAUUUUAUAAUUUUUUUUACCAUUUUCCUUCUUAUUCAUUUCUCUUAUAGUAUUUCAUUAGGAGUAUAGAAGAACUAUCAAUAUUGUCCCUAAUAUCUAUCCAAAUUAAACGUUAAACUAGUAAUUUUUUUUUUGUAACUUUUAAUAUCCUCCUAUUUUUUUUGUAGCUCCUUUUUUUUUUUUUUUGGGUAUCAAAACCAAGGAUAAGUCAACAAUAAUUAAAAACAAAUGGCCCAAAAUCAUUACCAAAUUAUGAUAGUUCUACCACUAAACUAGUCCCUAAAUUUUUAUUAUAAACUUUAAAAGAAACAAAAUAGCACUGUCUUCUCUAUCUUAAAAAGAAUUUAUAUUUCCAAUAAAGUACUAUGAAAAAUACCCUAUUAUAGUAAAAGAUUUAUUGUUAUAGUUAAUUAUUAAAUAACAAAUAUUAGUAUGAAAAACUUGAUACUCUUUUUGUUUAGAUGAAUAAAUUGAAUUUUGUAAGAUAAGGGCAUUUUAGGAUAUUCAUUAAAUUUUACUCUAUUUUAAAGUUUGGUUACCAAAGUGUCAAAUCAAGGGAGGUAAGUAUAAUUUUUAAAACAUCAAGGGAAUUAAGUGAAAUAGUAAGAAACCUCAAGGGAGGUUUCUAAAAUUAUGCCUAGAAUCUAAUCAAUAUGUAGCUAGAAGACUCCGCGGCUAUAUAUAUGUAGGUGUCCGGAUAGCUCAAUGUAGGCAUGUAAAGACCUAAGUUUAAAUUGUAGAAUUCAUUUUUUUUAGAAGAAAGAGGUCUUACAUGAAGAUAAAGAGUCUUGUUUGGUAGCCAAGGAUGACUUGCCUGCAGGCUCACCAAAGGGUUUCUAGUCCUUCUUUUGUUUUUUUUUUCCCCUGACAAAAGGGUUUUUAGUCCUUUGUUUAAUCAUCCAGGUAGAGUUGGGUUGAGAAGGAUGGUAAGGUGAAAAAAAUUGUAAGUAAGAUAUAUUAUAUUUAAAAUCUUUUGUUUACAAAAAAAAAAAAAAAGAGGGUCAAAAAAAGUCCUUUGCUUUAUUAUUAAACUUAUUUUUCAGUGUCAAGAUAGAGUUGCCUCCCCUCUCUAUUCAUCUUUUAAAAAAUAUUUAUGGAAUUUUUAAAAAGAUAUGAUAAGUAGUUAAAAAGAGAUGGAAUUUUUCAACGUAAUAGUAUCCUAUAGGUCAAGUAGUUAAUCUCUCUCCUUUUCAAUCCUAAAUGAGGUGAUAGAAAUACAAAUGUGGCUACAAAUUACUUAUUAUUUUUGACCAUCUUUUUGAGGAAUUAUUCCAUGCAUCCGUCACAUCAUGAAAAAAGUAGUAGGAUAUCACAAGUUAUGUUUAGAUUAUUAGUAAUCUUUUCAAAGAUUGUGCAUAGAAUAUAGGGGUUCUAAGUCUAACAAUUAUUAGCUUGGUGUACGUGUGGGACUUUUUUUUUUUUUUUUGGGUGUUUUUGUUAGGCAGUCCCCUUGGCUAUCCAGAGGGUCUCUUUUCUCUCAUGUUGGAUCUGCUCUUCUUCUUGAUGCAAGAUUUGUUAUUGAAACAUGUUAUUACAUUAUCAGAAGCAUAAUGGGCUAAUUUGAAAUUGCAUUAUUGUUCCAUCACUAGAUCAUAAGUAUAUAUUUUGAGCUUGUUACUAUAUUAUCUGUGGUUUAUAAUUAAGUUGCAAGGUUGUUGAAUUGUAAUAUGAAUACUUUCAUUCCACCACUCUUAAGUUACUUGUAAUCAUAAAAGAAAUCAAGGGGAGAAAAGGGUUUGGGCACUAUUAUAUGCCAUCAUAUGUGGUGUUUUCCCACAUGCAAUUUACCUACAAGGUGUCUUUUCUUGGCCUUCUAAAACCAUAUGAAUAUGAUUGUCUCUCAAGGAAUAUUUUCUAAUAAAAGUGGAUGUCUAUUUCUUGGAGCCUGAACAUUUUUCCAAGUUUUUACUCAAACGUAUUUUUUAAUCACGUGUUUUCGUAGAGAGAUUUUCUUAUGCAUAUUUUUUAAUUACUUUUUUAUCUCACAUACAUCGCAUUACUAUAGUAUAAAAUUUUAUGCAAACUUCAAAAACUUGCAAUCCUAACAGGCUUGUAGUGCCUCAAUUCUCUCAAACAUGCUAUCAACUGCGGAGAAGAUAUUGUCAAUGCGGUGGGAGUGGCACGAUUUGUAGUCUUCGUAUGGGCAAUGAACAUCGUAUGAUUGAGCCAACUUCAAAAUCCCUUGGUUCAAUAGUUGUCACCUGGCUAGUUUCAAGAAUUGCUGCUGCUGCUGCUGCUGCUUCAAGGGGCCUUAGAUGCUACCAUGUUGCCGAGCCAUUCAAUCAAUCUGCAAAAAGAAACCUCAUACGCGGUACUUUUCAGUUUGAACAGGAGCGCCCUGCCCUUGUUCAUUUCAUACAGGCUAUCUCAUGAUAUGAUCAAGCAGUGCCAGGAGGAGAUGCUGCGAAAGUAGAGUGACCGGCUGAUGAAGGAAUGACAGAUUUAGAUUAUUUGCACUAACAAAUGCUAGUUAGUAGAUAACAGGUCUUGUAGAUAAUAAUGUGUUUUAAGGCGAUCAGUUUAUUUGCAUUUCUAUUUGUAAAUUCUGAAAAAGUCGAACCAUUUAAUACAUGUUGAUUUAUAAAAAUAGAUCUACGUAAAAAUUUUAUUUUAUAGGUAUAACUAGAACGAUUCGAUAGCUCGACUCAGAAUCAUUCGAGAUUUUACAUAAGUCAAGUUUAAACAAAUAAUUUGUCUCGACAAGCUAUAGAGCGAUCUCAAACCUUGUUUGCAAACUUAAACGAACGUUUGUGAACAUGGGUGUAAUUGUUAUUUUACAAGUUUAGGAUUAGAUAAUUAGUGUUUCAACCUAUUAGAUACAUCAUCUAACAUAUGAUCAAAAUUUAGGCCUUGUUUGGAUUGUUGUUUUUCGUCAAAAAAAUACGUUAUUUUCCGUAAUUACAUUUUCCUAUUACCUUUUUCCCUCACAUACAUCAAAUCGCUACAGUAAUUUUUCCAUAAAAAAUCAUGGAAAAUGUAAUCCAAACACAACCUUAGCCUUCUUUUUGCCCUUGUCACUUUGCCGCUCGCAGCCACCCACACACCGACCACCAUCACCAACGCCUUCUCAAUCACCAUCUUUAUUGGCCGUCACCACUACAAAACUUCUCCUUCUACCAUUACCCAUUUUGUCUAGAAGCGUUACCAGUAUAAAGUUGGGUUCAGUUAUCCUUCGUCGUCCAUGUGCUUGACGGGCUAUUCCAUGAGACGAAAUUUAUCUAGUGCGUAUUUUUAGAUAGUGGCUGCGGAUUUUCUUAUCAAUAAAAAAAAUUGGGUUUUUUUUUAUUUUUUAUUUAUUUUUUGGUUAAGAAGAUUGUACCAAUUUAUCUUUUGUAGUACGGGUAAUAAAGAAAGUUCAAAAUUUAAGAAAUAUACACAGAGGAAAAUUUCUUUCUUUCGUUGUAUAUUUUACUAGAGUUUUUUUUUUUUUUCGUUUUAAUGCUGAGAUUAGAGUUGGUGUUCGUAGAGGUAGUCAUGGAGUUAGACUGUCAGAGUAUUCCCACUAUGUGUAUACUUUUUCUACUAUGAUAAAAGGAAACAUUACUAUUUUUCUACAAAAUUGGAAAAAAUUGAGAAAAUUUGAAAAGUAACACACUAUUUUGCCUUUGUUUUCUACCCUGUGUAAAAUGGGACACAAUUUUUUUUUGUUAUUUAUGAUGUCAUUUUUUAAAAUUUUUUGAAUUCCUCAUUUUUUCAAAAACAAGUUUUUAUAUAUAAUGUUACAGUAAUACAUAAAUAAAAACAAUCUAAAACACCACGUCCAUACAAUAUAUCAAAAAUUCCAAAUAUACAAAAAAAUAUAUAUCACCACCACCACCAUCACCAACCACCAAAAGCACACCACUACCCGCCGCCCCUUCCCCCUCUUUCUUUCUUCCUCAUCUUCCCUCAUCUCCUUCCCUUUUUCCUCUCUUUCUUCCUCCACCUUCUCUCCCUUUUCCUCCCCUCCCCUCCUCCUUCCUCUCCAUGUGUCUCUCGCUAUCCCCCCCUCUCCCAUCGCGACCAAAUUUGGUCGCGGGCGGCGUCCAUCUUCUGGUUGCGACUCACGAUUAGAGAGGAUUAAAGGGAGGAUGGUGGAAGAGGGUGGCGAGGAGGGAGGAGAGAAGGGAUGGUGGGUAAUGAUGGAUGGUUGUAAGAUUUUAUAAAAUUUUUAAUUUUAAAAAUAUCUCAUAAUAUAUUUUCUAACACACCUCAAAACCCCAUUAAAAACAUCUAUAAUAAAAUUUUUCAAUUAUAUUAUUCCAGUAAAAUAUUUCAAAAACACCUUAAAAACAGUUAAUCCAAACGAAACCUUAAUUUCUAUCGUCAUGAAAUACUUCUCAUAACAAUAUAAUGUAACAAAAUUAAACCGUAAAUUCAUAGUAACUUCUAUAUUGACUUUCAUACUGUUUUAAUUAUUAAUUCUUUGUCUCCUUUGCAAUUUGAAUUAUUUUUAUUUUUUGACAAUAUUUAGAAAAAAAUUAAGCCAUCAUAGUAACUUCUAUAUUGACUUUCAUACUUUUUUUUAAUUAUUAGCUCUUUCUCUCUUUUGCAAUUUGAAUUAUUUUUUAUUUUUUGACAAUAUUCAAGACAAAUUAAACACAUAUAAUUUUCAGUGCUCAGUUGCUUUUUUAGCAGUUUUUUGAACCGUUACUUAUAACUGAAAUUCAACAUUGCAUUUCAUCACCACUGCCGCCACCAGCAGAGUCACAUGCUCCGCCAACGGCGGCGCCACCGCUACGGUGCCCACAUUUGUGCCUUAUUAGCUGCCGUCCUUCUCCUCCUCUCCGUCACUCUCCUCUACAGUCGGAUCAACUUCUUCCAGUCCCACUCCACUGGUCCACACCAGCACUCCUAUUCCCAGUACGACGGCGUCUCGCUAACCGACAACCCCCUCGUCGAAGAUUCCACCGACUCUCUUGAUCAUGCCUCGAAUUCUGACGACCUCAUCGACGAGCAGGAUGACGCCGUUUUGAACACCAAAUAUAGCAACAGUAAUGGUGAUGAUUUCCUCUUAGGUGGAGAAUCGGAAGAAGAUGUGGAGGACGAGGACGACGACGUCGUUUCAGGUCAAAAUGAUAAGUCUAAGUCUUCUUCUUCUUCUUCUUCAUCUUCGCUUUACUAUUUUGAUCAUCAGAACGGCGUCGUUAGGAGAGGAUUUAAUAAGAAAUCAAUUGAGGAAUGGGAAGAUUAUGUUAGUUUUGAAUCUAAGCUGGGGUUAGAAUUAGGGUUUAGUAAUCGGGGAUCUAAGACUGCAUUUGGAUCGGAUGAUAUUCCUGUUGAUGAAAAAACGAGGAAAAAGUUAACUGAGGUUAAGGGAAUUGAGGAUGCAUUAUUGUUGAAGGGCUCAAAGUUGAGGGAAGGGUGGGGUGAAUGGUUUGAUAAAAAGAGUGAUUUCUUGAGGAGGGAUCGGAUGUUUAAGUCAAAUUUGGAGGCCGUAAAUCCGAUGAAUAAUCCGAUUUUGCAGGACCCGGAUAUGCCAGGGGUAACAGUGUUAACUAGAGGGGAUAAGCUUGUACAGAAGGGUAUGUUGAAUGAGUUCAAAAAGUGCCAUUUUUGGUUAAGAAGCCAUUGGCAUUUGAGAACAAGCAGACCGUUGAGAAAGACGAGAAUGUUGAGGUACAGAAAGAUGAAAUGAAGAAAAUCAAGAUGAACAAGCGAAAAACUUUGGAUAAUGCUAAUAGUCAGAGUAGUUAUACACGGAAGAACGAGAUUAAGAAUAAUGGUAGCGGUAAUCAUGGUUACAUUGUGAAAAAAGUUGAUAAUAGGAAGGAUUUGAAUGGGAACGGUGAGGAGGGAGGGAAAGAAUGUGAAAAAUGAGUUUUCAGGGCUGGUGUUUGCGGAUGGAAGAAGAUGGGGGUACUAUCCGGGGUUGGAUUCUAGAUUGUCGUUUAAUAAUUUUAUGGAUGCCUUUUUUAGGAAAGGGAAGUGUAAUUUGAGAGUUUUUAUGGUAUGGAAUUCUCCCCUUGGAUGUUUAGUGUACGUUACCAGAGGGGCUUGAGAGCGUUUUGUAUCAUCAUCCAGAUGCAUGCGUGGUAGUGUUUUCUGAGACGCUUGAGUUGAAUUUCUUCAAUAGCUUUGUGGAGGAUGGGUAAGUCUUUUUUGUUUUCUCUUUUUCCUUUAGUGGGAUGAGGAUGUUGCUUUUGUUCUCUAAUUGGAAGAAUCAGUUCAUUUGCUUGGUUUUUGACAGGCCUCUUUCUUUUGCAGCUCUGGUUAACCAUGUUUUGUCCUUUUUUUUUAUGUUCUUUGUAGUUUUUAGAGAACACACUUGAUUAUAUGACUCUAUAAAGCAUAUUUUGUUGCGUCAUGAUUGCUCUUGGUUUUCAAAGAUUUUGUUUUGGUGCACAUUUGUCAUAUGCCUUGUACCAUUUGAGGUGAAAACAAAAUUUGCUUGACAACUUUGCUAUCCCCUGCUUUGCAGUUUCAAGGUGGCUGUCGUCAUGCCAAAUCUUGAUGAGCUACUUCAAGAUACACCAACACAUAUAUUUGCCUCUGUCUGGUAUGAAUGGAAGAAGACAAAAUAUUAUCCUAUACAUUACAGUGAACUCAUCAGGCUUGCUGCUCUGUACAAGUAAGCAAAAUUUAGUAGCAGAAUCUUUUCAAGGCCAAAGCAGUAUGAAUCAUUUGAAAUACUUAUUCUGGAACCAAAUUUUUUAAAAAACAAGAAUUGAUUGGAGAAUAACUCAUGACAAGUGUUACAGGUAAGAAAGUUUGGUCUGAAUUUAAGGAAAUUCAGAAAGAGAAACAUCCAGUGAAGUUAAUCUGAUACACUGACUAUAUUCUAAACUAUGAAAUUUUAAUCUUUUUUGGAAAAUUAACUGUGCUAAAGCAUCAGUGAGCGUACAAUCAAAGUGGCAGAAAGUUUGACCUCUGCAAAAUGGAACAGGAAAUUUAUCUUUGUGAUUGCUUUUACAUAAUACACUGACAAUUUUCUAUUAGUGUAAAGUUUCUCUAAUUCAACCUUUGUGUAUUGCAGGUAUGGUGGUAUUUAUCUUGACUCUGAUGUUAUAGUGCUGAAAAAGUUAUCAUUACUUAAUUGUACUGUUGGCCUCGAAGACGAGCAAAAGGAGAACACUUUGAGUGGUGCAGUAAUGGCCUUCAGAAAGCACAGGUACAUCAGUAUUAUUACAAAGCUUUUUACUACAUUUUUAAUGAUAUAGUUUUUUUUAAACUAUAUGGCAUCUUUUAAGGAAAUUUUUUUGUAGCAAUUAUAAAUAUAACUAUGUGCAUCUAGGUUUUAAAAAAAAUACCAUUCAUAAAGUUUUCCUUCUUAGCCUGUGGAUGUUCAAUAGUUAGAUUUUGUGCUCCUACAGUGCUUAAUAAGCUGGAAGGAAACUAUUAAGAACAUUUGCUAUCUUGAUUCCAUAAACUCUGUCUCAGAACUAGCUAGGACUCACUUAUACAGGGUUGCACUUUCUGAUCCAGGAUUGAGUAUUGAUGUGUAGAAAGAUGAAGGAAGAAAGUAAUUGAAAUCUUUUUGGUAUAUAAUCAGUAGGCAUGUAGUAAGUCUUAGAUAAACUGCGUAGAGCUUCAAAGAAAUCACUCCAUGUAUUUAUUGUCCCACUGAAGGCAAUCUGUUUAUGGGCUAAGGUGGAUAAAGAUGCUUGUUUGAAUACUGGUAUUGGGAGAACUCUGAAGUUAGCAGAAAACUGAUUGCCAGGAAAAUUGUUUUUUAUUAGUAGCUCAAUGUUGUUUGGCAUGAAAUACCAUUGGAGUACACAAUUAAGAAGUCUUUUUUCAAACUUGGAGAAUGAUAUUAAAGAUGAUCACCUUAUAUAUGAUUUUAUACCUUAAUUUAGAAUGUUGAUGUGAGGACCAAAGAGUGCUCGAGUACAAAGGUAGACUUGGAAGAAAAUGACUUAUCAUGAGUUUCUAGGACUUAGUUUGCGUAGUUUCUUAUAAAUCUGACUUGUAUAUCUCAUAGAAGUUACAUUUGAUUUAUGUCUAUUUGGAUGUGAACUUGGAAUGCUUUGACAUUAUAUCUUUGCAUGUUGUGGAUGUUAGAAAAUUUACAUUUCUAUAAUUUUCUGUGUAUCCUGUUUUAGUGUUGACUCUCUUUGUUUCUUUUGAUUUUGUGCUUUUUGCAGUCCAUUUAUAAUGGAGUGCUUGACAGAGUUCUAUGCAUCAUAUGAUGAUACCCAGUUGAGAUGGAAUGGAGUUGAUCUUUUAACUAGAGUUGCUCUCAACUUUCUAGUAACAAGAAUCCCUUUGAUAAAAGGAUGGAGCUCAGUGUGCUACCUUCUUUUGUUUUCUUUCCUAUCAGUCGAAGUAACAUUUCAAGGUAAAAAUUUAUGAAAAGCUCUAUGCUUGUUACGUUUGCAAGUAACCUGUCUUUCAUUUGAAAUAUCAUUGCUCAGAGUACUCUGGUGGUUCGGGCAUCAUAUCUUGCCAAUUUGUUUUUGAAGCACUCAUGCCAAGUUGUGCUAGACUGUUUAGGGUACACCUUUUUUAGUGCAAUUCUCUUACAAUCAAUUUGCAAACCUAUCCUUUUGUGCUUGGAUUUCAACUUGAAGAUUCAGGGCCUCUUUCUUAUUGCUUAAAAUGAGCUGAUUUUAGCUCUUUCUAAGCUAGAGGGUUUUUAAUUUGACUGUUGACUUCUAUAUUGUCAUGAUUCUAAGCUGAAAUAAGCAGCCUAAAGGUGCUUUUAAAGCAGCUUUUGGCUUUUAAAACUUUUAUAGGGGAAUAUUUUUUUAGGUGGCUUUGAGGUUGCUUAAGCAAGCAAGAUCAAGAACAGAUGUGUUUCUUUUAAAGUUUUGUGGGUUUAAAGGAUCUUGAUGCUUAAUCGCUAAGUUGAAUUUAGUACCUUGAGGGGAAUUGGAAUUAUCUUAAACACUUAAAAUGAGGAUUUGGUUUUGCUGUGACCACCAGAGUAUAUGCAUGCAUAUCUAAACAUUUGCCACUUGUAAGUUAUGUAAGUUUAUAUAAUCAGCUGAUAUUAAUGAGAUUUGAAAGUGUUUUUGCAAGUAAAUACUUUCAAUAGCAAAGUCAAAAUUCAGCCGAGUGUGAGUCUAGUAUUUUAUACCAGUUAAACUCCAUUCUACAUGUCGAUCUGAUAACUAACACUAUUGUGAUAAAAUAUCAGCAUACCAGUAAUCUUCUCAAGAAAAAAGGAAAGAAGAGAAAACCCAGGUAAUGAGAAGGGGAAAAAAGGAAAAAAUAAAAGAGAAGAGAUGAUACCUUUCUGUUAUGUUGAGAAAUAGAUAGGGAUUUUUUUUUCAAAUGUGCCUUUUACCCUCAAAAUCCACAAAAUCUUGAUAUUUGUAUUUUGGCCAAAUGUGUAAACAGAAGAAGGUCUCGUUUAUUUCCCCUCCCUCUCAUGUGAAGGGAAGGGAAGGAGCAUAAGAAGUAGUUGAUGGUUUUAGAUGUCUCCAUUUCUUUCCUUUUGUAGUUCAUCUAAAACUCAAAAUAAGUUUUAUUUUUCUCUUUAAAUCUUUAUUUUUCUUCCCAUCCAAAUCAAGCGAAAAGGCUGGAAAUGCUAUUCAUAAAUAAUGAUCUGCUACUUUAUAUGAUGGAUUUCCAGUUACUGAUAUUUUUUUGGAACAAAAGAAGUAAAAUUUGGUGAGCUAUUUAUUGUUAAAUAAUAUGAUGAUGAUCUCCCGCAAAUAUUAAGUAUUAGAGGUUCAACGGUCUGUCUUGGGGUCUUGUUACUUUACUAAUAUCUGAGUGAUGAUGUCUAUAGACUAUAGCUAUUGUAUAUGGCCUACAAAUGAUGGAUUCAUGGGAUAUUUCCACCCCUCAAAUGGUGGCAGGAGAAUCCUGGAAAUUAAUCUCUGAGAAGUUGACCUGAAUUGGAAUUACCAGUCAAUUGUCUCACUACUACCAGUCAAAUUUGUGGGCACUGUAUAUGGUACCCUGAAAGUCAUCUUUCAGGAAAAUCUGCUGAUUGCCAGAUCCAAAUCACUUUCUUAAUCUAUUCUUUUUCAUUGCCCCCACUUUUCUCUUUUCUGCUUUCAUUGUCUGAAACUUAACAAUAGACAGUCUAACUCUUUCUUCUUCAAGGUAAGGUCUGUGUAGAUUCUAAAACCAUAUUUAUUGUAACUUUUCUUGAAU